AUUGAACGCUGGCGGCAUGCUUUACACAUGCAAGUCGAACGGCAGCACGGGUGCUUGCACCUGGUGGCGAGUGGCGGACGGGUGAGUAAUACAUCGGAACGUGUCCUAAAGUGGGGGAUAACGGAUCGAAAGAUGUGCUAAUACCGCAUAAUCUCUAAGGAGAAAAGUAGGGGAUCGAAAGACCUUAUGCUUUUGGAGCGGCCGAUGUCUGAUUAGCUAGUUGGUAGGGUAAUGGCUUACCAAGGCGACGAUCAGUAGUUGGUCUGAGAGGACGACCAGCCACACUGGGACUGAGACACGGCCCAGACUCCUACGGGAGGCAGCAGUGGGGAAUUUUGGACAAUGGGCGCAAGCCUGAUCCAGCAAUGCCGCGUGAGUGAAGAAGGCCUCGGUUGUAAGAC
rnacentral:rRNA from 1 species